UCCAGACUCCUACGGGAGGCAGCAGUGAGGAAUAUUGGUCAAUGGGAGGAAUCCUGAACCAGCCAUGCCGCGUGCAGGACGACGGCUCUACGAGUUGUAAACUGCUUUUGUACCGGGGUAAAAUGCCUUACGAGUAGGGUUUUGAAAGUACGGUACGAAUAAGGGUCGGCUAACUCCGUGCCAGCAGCCGCGGUCAUACGUAGGAUCCGAGCAUUAUCCGGAGUGACUGGGUGUAAAGAGUUGCGUAGGUGGCAUAAUAAGUAGCUAGUGAAAUCUGGUGGCUCAACCAUUCAGACUAUUAGCUAAACUGUUAAGCUCGAGACCGUUAGGGGUAACUGGAAUUUCUAGUGUAGGAGUGAAAUCCGUAGAUAUUAGAAGGAACACCAAUAGCGUAGGCAGGUUGCUGGGACGGUUCUGACACUAAGGCACGAAAGCGUAGGGAGCAAACGGGAUUAGAUACCCUAGUAAGU
rnacentral:rRNA from 1 species